rnacentral:rRNA from 1 species
AAGCUCGUAGUUGAAUUUCGGGAUCAGACUGUCGGUCGUGCCUCGGUACGCACUGGCAUUAUUGGUUCCUACCUUCUGAAGAACCGCGAUGUCAUUAAUUUGGUGUCGCGGGGAAUCAGGACUGUUACUUUGAAAAAAUUAGAGUGUUUAAAGCAGGCUUACGCUUGAAUACAUUAGCAUGGAAUAAUGAAAUAGGACGUUUGAUUCUAUUUUGUUGGUUUCUAGGAUCGACGUAAUGAUUAAUAAGGAUAGUUGGG